rnacentral:rRNA from 1 species
UACAGAGGUCUCAAGCGUUGUUCGGAUUCAUUGGGCGUAAAGGGCGCGUAGGCGGUCAGAUAAGUCAGCUGUGAAAACCUCGGGCUUAACCCGAGGCCUGCAGUUGAAACUGUUUGGCUGGAGUGUGGGAGAGGAGAGUGGAAUUCCCGGUGUAGCGGUGAAAUGCGUAGAUAUCAGGAGGAACACCAAUGGCGAAGGCAGCUCGCUGGGACGGUACUGACGCUGAGGCGCGAAAGCGUGGGGAGCAAACAGG